rnacentral:rRNA from 1 species
GUAACGCGUGGGAACGUGCCCUUUGCUACGGAAUAGCCCUGGGAAACUGGGAGUAAUACCGUAUGUGCCCUUCGGGGGAAAGAUUUAUCGGCAAAGGAUCGGCCCGCGUUGGAUUAGGUAGUUGGUGGGGUAAUGGCCUACCAAGCCGACGAUCCAUAGCUGGUUUGAGAGGAUGAUCAGCCACACUGGGACUGAGACACGGCCCAGACUCCUACGGGAGGCAGCAGUGGGGAAUCUUAGACAAUGGGGGAAACCCUGAUCUAGCCAUGCCGCGUGAGCGAUGAAGGCCUUAGGGUUGUAAAGCUCUUUCAGUGGGGAAGAUAAUGACGGUACCCACAGAAGAAGCCCCGGCUAACUCCGUGCCAGCAGCCGCGGUAAUACGGAGGGGGCUAGCGUUGUUCGGAAUUACUGGGCGUAAAGCGCACGUAGGCGGACGAGAAAGUCAGAGGUGAAAUCCCAGGGCUCAACCCUGGAACUGCCUUUGAAACUCCUUGUCUUGAGGUCGAGAGAGGUGAGUGGAAUUCCGAGUGUAGAGGUGAAAUUCGUAGAUAUUCGGAGGAACACCAGUGGCGAAGGCGGCUCACUGGCUCGAUACUGACGCUGAGGUG